CGUGUAGGCGGCCUGAUAAGUCAGACGUGAAAGCCCGCGGCUUAACCGCGGGACUGCGUUUGAAACUGACAGGCUUGAGGAUCGGAGAGGGCAGUGGAAUUCCCAGUGUAGCGGUGAAAUGCGUAGAUAUUGGGAGGAACACCAGUGGCGAAGGCGACUGCCUGGACGACACCUGACGCUGAGGCGCGAAAGCUAGGGGAGCAAACGGGAUUAGAUACCCCGGUAGUCCUAGCCGUAAACGAUGGGUACUAGGUGUGGGGGGUAUCGACCCCUUCCGUGCCGCAGUUAACACAAUAAGUACCCCGCCUGGGGAGUACGGCCGCAAGGUUGAA
rnacentral:rRNA from 1 species